rnacentral:rRNA from 1 species
GAGGCAGCAGUAGGGAAUCUUCCACAAUGGACGAAAGUUGGAGGAGCAACGCCGCGUGAGGAAGAAGGUUUCGGAUCGUAAACUCUGUGGUGGAGAAGAAUGUAUCUGAUAGUAACUGAUCAGGUAGUGACGGUAUCCAACCAGAAAGCCACGGCUAACUACGUGCCAGCAGCCGCGGUAAUACGUAGGUGGCAAGCGUUGUCCGGAUUUAUUGGGCGUAAAGCGAGCGCAGGCGGUUUCUUAAGUCUGAUGUGAAAGCCUUCGGCUCAACCGAAGAAGUGCAUCGGAAACUGGGAAACUUGAGUGCAGAAGAGGACAGUGGAACUCCAUGUGUAGCGGUGAAAUGCGUAGAUAUAUGGAAGAACACCAGUGGCGAAGGCGGCUGUCUGGUCUGUAACUGACGCUGAGGCUCGAAAGCAUGGGUAGCAAACAGGAUUAGAUACCCUGGUAGUCCAUGCCGUAAACGAUGAGUGCUAGGUGUUGGAGGGUUUCCGCCCUUCAGUGCCGCAGCUAACGCAUUAAGCACUCCGCCUGGGGAGUACGACCGCAAGGUUGAAACUCAAAGGAAUUGACGGGGGCCCGCACAAGCGGUGGAGCAUGUGGUUUAAUUCGAAGCAACGCGAAGAACCUUACCAGGUCUUGACAUCCUUUGACCACUCUAGAGAUAGAGCUUUCCCUUCGGGGACAAAGUGACAGGUGGUGCAUGGUUGUCGUCAGCUCGUGUCGUGAGAUGUUGGGUUAAGUCCCGCAACGAGCGCAACCCUUAUUACUAGUUGCCAGCAUUAAGUUGGGCACUCUAGUGAGACUGCCGGUGACAAACCGGAGGAAGGUGGGGACGACGUCAAAUCAUCAUGCCCCUUAUGACCUGGGCUACACACGUGCUACAAUGGAUGGUACAACGAGUUGCGAGACCGCGAGGUUUAGCUAAUCUCUUAAAACCAUUCUCAGUUCGGAUUGUAGGCUGCAACUCGCCUACAUGAAGCCGGAAUCGCUAGUAAUCGCGGAUCAGCAUGCCGCGGUGAAUACGUUCCCGGGCCUUGUACACACCGCCCGUCACACCAUGAGAGUUUGUAACACCCAAAGCCGGUGAGGUAACCCUUCGGGGAGCCAGCCGUCUAAG